CCUACGGGAGGCUGCAGUGAGGAAUAUUGGUCAAUGGCCGGAAGGCUGAACCAGCCAUGCCGCGUGAAGGUCAGUGCCCUAUGGGCGUUAAACUUCUUUUGUGCGGGAGCAAUAAUGGUCACGUGUGGCCAGACGAGAGUACCGUACGAAUAAGCAUCGGCUAACACCGUGCCAGCAGCCGCGGUAAUACGCGGGAUGCAAGCGUUAUCCGGAUUUAUUGGGUUUAAAGGGUGCGUAGGCUGUGAGUUAAGUCAUCGGUGAAAUGCCCCCGGUCAACGGGGUGAAGUGCCAUUGAUACUGCAGUGCUGGAAUGCGGAUGCGGUGGGAGGAAUGUGUGGUGUAGCGGUGAAAUGCAUAGAUAUCAGACAGAACACCGAUUGCGAAGGCAGCUUACGAAGCCGUGAUUGACGCUGAUGCACGAAAGCGUGGGUAUCAAACAGGAUUAGAUACCCCUGUAGUC
rnacentral:rRNA from 1 species